AUUGAACGCUGGCGGCAGGCCUAACACAUGCAAGUCGAGCGAGCGGCGGACGGGUGAGUAAUGUCUGGGAAACUGCCGGAUGGAGGGGGAUAACUACUGUAAACGGUAGCUAAUACCGCAUACCAUCAGAUGUGCCCAGCUGGGAUUAGCUGGUAGGUGGGGUAACGGCUCACCUAGGCGACGAUCCCUAGCUGGUCUGAGAGGAUGACCAGCCACACUGGAACUGAGACACGGCCCAGACGCCUACGGGAGGCAGAAGUGGGGAAUAUUGAACAAGGGGCGCAAGCCUGAGGCAGCCAUGCCGCGUGUGUGAAGAAGGCCUUAGGGUUGUAAAGCACGUUCAGCGGGGAGGCGUUACCCUCAGAAGAAGCACCGGCUAACUCCGUGCCAGCCGCCGCGGUAAUUC
rnacentral:rRNA from 1 species